GCACUGUGGGAGGAUAAAUUUCCAUUGUUUUACCAGUUUGUGAUAAUGUGUUACAGCCGCCACAGGGAACAAACAGUCCCCACCCCUGAUUCUCCCUCUCACUGCGGAUCCUUCCAACUUCGUGGUCCUCACCUGGGGCAAAAUCAAAGAUAUUUCUAGUAACCAUUCAAAAAUGUGAAACCCCUUCUUAGUUCACGGGCUGGACACACUCAGGUGGGUGUGCAGAUUGUGGCCUGUGAGCCAGUGUGCUGACCCGCCUCUGCACACUCACUGACCACGCAAAGGACGGCAGCUGUGCAGCCCUGUCACCCCAAAAGAGCUGGGCCUGAGGAAGUGUCUCUGGGCCGCCCAGGACCUGACUUAGGUGCGUUUGCUGCAUUCUUGAACACCUACGUGCCUCCAGGGUUAAAAAUGAAGUUUCAAGCCUACCCCAUUCCCACGCCUUGACAGUCUUAACUACAUAUCAUGCAGGUCUGUAUAAAGGGAGGCAGAUGAUUUCUCUCCCACAGCAUUGCACCUCCACCGGCUUCACUGGACUAUACUGGA